AUUAUAAAGAGCUAUAUAUUGUUAGUAUAUAAAUAUUAUGAAAACAAAAAAUUAUGGCGGUACUUUAAACUUUUCAGAGGAAUUUGCUCUUUAAUGGAUAAAACACCUAAAUCUUACUAAAAUUAGUCAAUUCAGCUUGUAUACCACUAUCAAAGUAAUAAUUUAUGAUUAUUACUAUAAUUUUUUAUAGUUUUAAAAAUUAAAUUAAGUCAUGGUGCAGCUUAAAUUUUAGGAUGAAGUGAAUUACAUUUCUUUUAAGAAAAUUGAAAUUUAAAAUUAUUUAUUCGGAUUUGAAAGUAAAAGUGUAAUAUAAUGACAUUUUGAAUUGAGUUCUAAAGUAUGUAC
rnacentral:rRNA from 1 species